UUUAACGGCCGCGGUAUUCUGACCGUGCAAAGGUAGCGCAAUCAAUUGUCUUUUAAAUGAAGACCCGUAUGAAUGGCAUAACGAGGGCUUAACUGUCUCCUUUUUCCGGUCAAUGAAAUUGAUCUCCCCGUGCAGAAGCGGGCAUAAUAACAUAAGACGAGAAGACCCUAUGGAGCUUAAAACGCAAGAAUAGCCCAGACCAAUAAAAUUAAAUUAACGAAACAAACCGACUGGCUCCUAUUCCAAUGUUUUUGGUUGGGGUGACCACGGGGUAAAACAAAACCCCCGCGCAGAAUGAAAAUACAAUUUUCUUACUCGAGGGCGACAGCCCUAGAAAUCAGAACCUCUGACUAUUAGAUCCGGCCUGGCCGAUUAACGAACCGAGUUACCCUAGGGAUAACAGCGCAAUCCUCUUUUAGAGCCCAUAUCGACAAGAGGGUUUACGACCUCGAUGUUGGACCAGGACAUCCUAAU
rnacentral:rRNA from 1 species